AGAUGCAACAGAGUGGAGCUUUCUUAAAGAGGGGACACAAAGAGCAGAGUUAGAUUGUCAAGUCACCGGGCUUGGAAGGACAGCAGCUGCCUUUAAAGGAGACAAGCCCUCGUCUCUUCUGUGUGCACCUAAAAUUGUGCCUGGCGGAACCCAAGCUCUUAAAGCUUAACAAAACACCCCAAAAGAGCUUUGCUCCUCCUCUCCUGCAAUCUCCGUCUCCCUAACAGUCGAUCAGCCAGAGUUCGGCAAGCCAGGGAAGCAGACUUGAAAGGCUUUCAGACUUUGCUUGGAACAAAAAGCCGAGUGUCUUUUUCUUUUUUUUUUUUUUUUUUUUUUUUUUUUCCCAAAGGAGAAAUAAGACCGGCUGCACUGAAAAAAUAAAACCACUGAGAUGAAGUGGGCAGCUCUUUUGUUCUUCCUCUGGAUACUCUGGCUGGUUUGAUGUGCCCAGACCUUGGUGUCACGGAUCUCACUAAGGAACUACCCACCAGCUGAAAACCCAGAGGGGAAAAAGGGAGGAGAGAGAAGAAUGAGGACAGGUUAAACCCUUACAGUCAGAUGCCACCAAAGCAAUAAAACUCUGGCAGCGAAAUUGAGUAA